rnacentral:rRNA from 1 species
GAUGAACGCUGGCGGCGUGCCUAAUACAUGCAAGUCGAGCGAACAGACGAGGAGCUUGCUCCUCUGACGUUAGCGGCGGACGGGUGAGUAACACGUGGAUAACCUACCUAUAAGACUGGGAUAACUUCGGGAAACCGGAGCUAAUACCGGAUAAUAUAUUGAACCGCAUGGUUCAAUAGUGAAAGACGGUUUUGCUGUCACUUACAGAUGGAUCCGCGCCGCAUUAGCUAGUUGGUAAGGUAACGGCUUACCAAGGCAACGAUGCGUAGCCGACCUGAGAGGGUGAUCGGCCACACUGGAACUGAGACACGGUCCAGACUCCUACGGGAGGCAGCAGUAGGGAAUCUUCCGCAGUGGGCGAAAGCCUGACGGAGCAACGCCGCGUGAGUGAUGAAGGUCUUCGGAUCGUAAAACUCUGUUAUUAGGGAAGAACAAAUGUGUAAGUAACUAUGCACGUCUUGACGGUACCUAAUCAGAAAGCCACGGCUAACUACGU